rnacentral:rRNA from 1 species
UACAGAGGUCCCAAGCGUUGUUCGGAAUUACUGGGCGUAAAGGGAAUGUAGGUGGUCAUGUAAGUCAGAUGUGAAAGCCCUGGGCUUAACCCGGGAAGUGCAUUUGAUACUGCGUGGCUAGAGUGCGAGAGAGGAAAGCGGAAUUUCCGGUGUAGCGGUGAAAUGCGUAGAUAUCGGAAGGAACACCAGUGGCGAAAGCGGCUUCCUGGUCCGACACCGACGUUCAGGCACGAAAGCGUGGGGAGCAAACAGG